CCGUGCAAAGGUAGCGUAAUCAUUUGUCUUUUAAUUGAAGACUAGUAUGAAUGGCAUCACGAGGACUAAUCUGUCUCCCUCCCCCAAUCAGUGAAACUGAUCUCCCCGUGCAGAAGCGGGGAUAAUAUCAUAAGACGAGAAGACCCUGUGGAGCUUCAAAUCAAUAAUCAACUGCUUCACCCACCCCAAAUAAAGGAUACACUCACGCAAACUUGAUUUAGAUUUUCAGCUGGGGCGUCUAUGGAGAAAAAAAAAUCCUCCAUGAAAAUUCAUGCUAAAAGCUACCACCAUAGGCAUUAAUAUACUUAACUUUAAUUGACCCAAUUUUUGAUCAACGGACCAAGUUACCCCAGGGAUAACAGCGCUAUCCACUUAAAGAGUCCUUAUCGACAAGUGGGCU
rnacentral:rRNA from 1 species